UGUUUUAAAAGGAUGUAUCUAAAAAGACACAUGUUUAACACACUUCUUAAAAAGUGCGUCUUUAACAACCGUUUAGCAAAUGUUGUACAGCAAUUGAACAAGAAAAAAAUUGUUGCAGGCUCUAACAAUUUAUUUACAUCAAAUGAUUAAACAUAGACAUAUAUCUCAGUAACCUGUAAUAAUAUAAGGGGCAGUUUGAAUAAUUACUGGUUGUCCAUAUUAACCUGUUUAAUGUUUACAUACUUUAUCAUACAAUUUCAAUGCAUACCCUAUUGCUUACGUUUUAAUCUCAAACAUUUCUAAAAAUUUCCACCUAAAUCAGACUGUGUGUAACUAAUUAAAAAUAUUGAAAGUGUCCAAAGUAUUAUGUGGGCUUGAUAGUAUUAAUUAUAUUUCCUCAACAUAAAUAAGUAUUUGAACUUUCUUAUACUGAUAUUUAUACCCUAAUACAAUUAAUGUCUACCACAUUGACCAUAAACAUACAUUUUAAAAGGCAAUUAAAAUAAUAUUUAUACUAUUAAUAUUAUUUGCUAAAACCAUUCAGCAUGUUAUAUUUAAAUAUUUACAAUUAAAUAUAAUGUGUUAAGGGUGCUGUGUAUUAUUCAAUAAAUAUUUUGGUGUUGAAAUGACUGCCUUAUCAGUAUUUCUCAAAUUAUGCAAUUUUUGGCUUAGACACAGCAUGGUAUCAGAUAAGAGAAUAGCCAGUCCUUAUCAGUCCUCCAUCUAAGCCUUACUAAGGGGUGUUGAUAUACUUUUGAUUUGUUCAGGCACCAUCUAUUUGAGAACCACAGAUAGGAAGUUAUUUUUUGAAAACAAGCAGCAUCAGCAACUGACUUUAAGCUAGAAUUAAGACUUAUUAUUCUAGUGUAAAAUGUCUUGAAAUACUUUCAGCAUGAAGUAUUGUGUGAUGAAAAAAAUGUGUAUUUACUACAAUGUGUAAAUCAACAAUAAAGGAGAUUAAAAGUGGGUGGUUAAAGACAUAUAAAGUGAUAUGGUCUAGUUCAACAACUGCCUGUAUUUUUGGAAUACUGAAGAACAGUCUGUUGUAACAGGUUAAACCCCAUGGAAAGAAUGUGCAUCAUCGCAUCGCCUGCCAAAAAAGGAAGCAAAAGAGAGACUACCUGAUGUAUGGACUUGAAUACCAGGUUUUACCCUGCACAAGCUGGCCGACAUGAGUAGAACAGGAGUGGGAAAACCGCGCCCUCUCCUUGACCAAGAAAAGCUGGAUUUGUUUAGAGGACCUGAUCAAAUAAGAUCAUGCACGAGACGCAUCGCGCACAGGCCAUGACAGUAUAAUAGUUGCAAAGAAGUUUGACCGGCUGGUGGCAGACUUGGAGAGAAAGAUGAGAGCUGCACUCCGCUGCCUCAAAGAAACGUGAAAGGCCUUGAUUGAUAUGCAUCUUUCUUAUGUAUAUAGCUGUUCGUGUGUAUAUUCUGUACAUGUUAUUAUAGUAUGCUAUUAUUUUUUGUUUAUUUAUAAUCAAAUUAUGUUUAUAUUUAUUUCAUCAAAUUGCCAUUGAUAUUUAAUUACUCAUGUAUGUUAAAAAUGUUGGUGUACAUUAAAGUAUAAAAUUGAAUUAUCUUGUAAUUAUUAAAAUACACAAAUAUAUAUGUUUAUAUAAUUAUUGGUUUUUAUUGCAUAUCUGAAUUAAAAAAACUUUUAACAGCAUAUAAUUGAAUCAACUGUUAAGGCAAAAGAUGCACCUUUAACGCACAUGUGUGCUUUUUGUGAGUGCGUUUUUUGCUGCCAUUCAUGUGCGUAAAUUGUGCGUUUUGUGUGGGUUAUAACUGCGCUUAACGUGCG